rnacentral:rRNA from 1 species
ACGAACGCUGGCGGCGUGCUUAACACAUGCAAGUCGAGCGGUAAGGCCCUUUCGGGGGUACACGAGCGGCGAACGGGUGAGUAACACGUGGGUGACCUGCCCUCAGCUCUGGGAUAAGCCUGGGAAACCGGGUCUAAUACCGGAUAUGACUCCAUGACGCAUGUUGUGGGGUGGAAAGCCUUGUGCGGCUGAGGAUGGGCCCGCGGCCUAUCAGCUUGUUGGUGGGGUGAUGGCCUACCAAGGCGACGACGGGUAGCCGGCCUGAGAGGGCGACCGGCCACACUGGGACUGAGACACGGCCCAGACUCCUACGGGAGGCAGCAGUGGGGAAUCUUGCGCAAUGGGCGAAAGCCUGACGCAGCGACGCCGCGUGAGGGAUGACGGCCUGGUGU